AAACUUUCAACAACGGAUCUCUUGGUUCUGGCAUCGAUGAAGAACGCAUGCGAAAUGCGAUAAGUAAUGUGAAUAGCACGAAUUCAGUGAAUCAUCGAAUCUUUGAACGCACAUUGCGCCCUGUGGUAUUCCGCAGGGCAUGCCUGUUCGAGCGUCAGUA
rnacentral:rRNA from 1 species